CCAUUUGAGGAUGAAGUUAUAUCUGUGGCUAACAUCUAGGCACAACCUCCGGGACAAGUAUUUAAUGUUGAGGCUGAAUUGUCCCUUGCAAGUAAGGAUCAACGCUUUAGUGUGUUAGCAUGCUCAAAUUGUAAGCAAUUGUUCACGAGAUAUAAUGUGCGAAGGGAAAUAUACUGCACAAGUUGUCACCGAUCCACACAUCUUAUUCCUAGAUGUAAAUUUGAAGUUACUAUUAAGGACAACAACGGUUUUGCAACAACUGUUAUUUCGGAUGAAAUUGCAGAGAAAAUGUUGCACCUCACUUCAGAAGAAAUUUAUGAAAUUUGCUUCGUCAAG